CAACGGUUAUUUUUUAAAUCAUAUUAUUUUAGGCCUGCAGUACAGUUCAUCUUCCAUUAGUAUGAAUUUUGCAUACUAAUCCAUCUGCUGUAGAUUCAGUCAGGUAUUCUCUUUUUUCUUGCUGGAAUUGAUGAAAAAGAUGGACAACAAUUAGUGAUUGUAAAGAGGAUGGCAGGCAAAUUCGACAUUUGAAAGGGGUGUUGUUGAUAGGAAGAAUGAAGGAUUAGAUUAGUAGUCCCAGGCAAUUCAAACUUUUAUAAUCUGUACAAAGAUGCACUUCCCAAACGAAGAAAAGAAAAUAGAGAGAAAAUGCUGCAAUCAAUGGAACUCUAGAAGAUCCAAGUUGAGGGAAACCUACUAACAGGUGAGAUCUUGCAGUCAACUUUCUGUCUGGAAAUUCAAUUCAUUUAUAUUCUAGGAAAAUAAAAAAUUUACAAGAAGCUGCUAACAUAAUAUUUCCUAUCACUUGCUAAACCCUUAGGAAUUUCUAAUUCUCUUCUACUGCUGCUCUCAAGCUUCCUAAUAUAUUCAUUGCACACAAAAACCAACA